rnacentral:lncRNA from 1 species
CUAAUUUUAACAACAUUGUAGUACAACAAGGAGAAAAGUGUAAGUAUAUCUAUACCAAAACUAUUUUCUAGAUAGUGUAAAUGUAUGAAUAAAUACGCUGUACAAAAAUCAAUGUACUACUAGAUUCAGUAACCAUUAAAAAGUACUAAAUAAUGUGACCAUUUGAAUGUACUAGAUAAAGUAGCCAUUCUAAUGUUCUUGAUAUUUAAUGUACUAGAUAGAGUACUGUGGAUUCAUAAUUAUUUGUUGGAUAUCAAUUUUCGUGGGUUUUGUGGGAAAAGGUGAACCAUGAAUUCAAAGGUUCAACGAAUUAUAAAUUUUAUAUAGGCUUUGUAUGCAUAACCAGGCUAAUCCAAGGAAUUAAAUAUCCACGAAAAAGUAAUUUUUCGGCAAUCCACAAAAAUUUAUACCCACAAAAAUAAAUGAAUCCACAGUAUGUAUUACUGUACCGGUAAUCAUUAAUGCUUAUUUGAUUAAUUUAGAAGUAGCUUUUAUCUCAUGUGAACUACAUUUAGAUACAUUCAUGUUUAUACUAACGGUAAUAGACAAUGGACAUACGGUAUGGUUUUGAAUACAACUCAGAGAAAUAUAAGUUCUUUUCUCGGCAUAUAUGUACAUGGUUGAGGUAUAGUAAGAUAGUACCAGGUCGGAAUGAAAAUAGAUUGAAAUUUUACAAGCAAUUUUAUAUUCUCAGAAAAAUUAAUCAGAUUUGAAGCUUCAUUGCACUUUGUGUGCACUCACCAGAUACUUCCAAAAUAUAUGAUCUGAAUGAAUUCUUGUGUUUAAGGGCAUACGAUACAGUUACAAGGGAGGUAAUGACGUUGCCCACGUAAAUUGUUAUUUUCGCGACGUCAAACGGUGACUUAUCUGGAAAAGAUGCAGUUUUCGGCUGAUUUUUAUCAUUCAAACUGAUUUAACUUUAAAAUGAGUUCAUUCUCUUGUUUUAAAUGACAUUUGGUUUGAUUAUGUAAAAAGAUUAUGUGUACCAAUUUUCAUGAAAACAUAAAUAGUGCAAUUUUUUAAAAUUUGAUUAAUAUACAGCAAAAAAUGACGUUUUUUUC